ACAACUAUACGACAAUGUUGCCUGGCACUUUUAACCUUUUGCCUGGUCGGCUCUCGAAAGUAUGCUGUGCCAAGAGUCGUGGGAAGCGGGCCGCACUGAAGGUCACUAAUUGAUUAAUAUGGUAACGAAAACAGGGCGGGCAGGGGAAAAUUGCGGAGAAAGUACGCUCCAAAGGGAUGACAAAAAUUAUGUUAGUUGUCUAACCAGUGUUGCAGAGAUAGAGGCGCAAAGGAAGCGGCACUAGAGAGGGCGUGGCAGGAGGCCAGUGUGUCAGCCUGCCACGCGUUUAUUCAUUCGUCAUCCGUUUCCUUUUUGUUGCUGUAGCAUUUUCAUUUCUUUCCUUUGCUUUUCCUGUCCUUUGCUUUCUUUUUUCCCUUUUUUUUUAUUUCCCCGCCACGAAUGCGUAUUGAAGUGUGGCAAAGAAAUCAAAAGAAUCCUGAUGAGAUGUGUUUGCCGGCGAAUGUCUGUCCUCAGUCCCCAUAUAAAGCUACAACCAAGCCCUUACAAAAAACCAGCAGGGAAAAUCACAAAAAUAAAUAAACCGAUGCCAAAAAUAAGGAGUGCGCACUCAAAAGCAACACAACAUACCGGGCUCGAAAUGGCAUUGAGACCAUUUUGCCGAAAAAUUGUGCAUGGGAAAUGUUAUUUAUUCGCCGGGGCUAUAUAUAAUAAAAAUUUAAUUUGAACACACAUUUAAAAAAUAAUGCAUCUAAUAAAUAAUCAGACACUUUAAUAAAUAUAUGUAUGUUAUAUUACGAGGUUUAGGCAACUGGAAGUGUCAGAAUAUCAACAAAAUAUAAUUGAGUUGUAUUAUGAAAAGCGGAAAACCAUAAAAAAUCUGUCAUUAGGUAAACUUUCUCAUCGUUGCCGAAACUAUAAUAAAUCUGAAUAAAAUACAAAACGGAAUGGAAGCUAAACUGAA